rnacentral:rRNA from 1 species
UACAGAGGUCUCAAGCGUUGUUCGGAUUCACUGGGCGUAAGGGGCGCGUAGGCGGUCAGCACAAGUCAGUUGUGAAAUCUCCGGGCUUAACUCGGAAAGGUCAACUGAUACUGUGCGACUAGAGUGCAGAAGGGGCAACUGGAAUUCUCGGUGUAGCGGUGAAAUGCGUAGAUAUCGAGAGGAACACCUGCGGCGAAGGCGGGUUGCUGGGCUGACACUGACGCUGAUGCGCGAAAGCGUGGGGAGCAAACAGG